rnacentral:lncRNA from 1 species
AUCCUCCUCUACUCUGUUUUAAAGGGACCAGUGUUUCCGGCAUAAUGUUCUUAAAUCUGAAAUCUGUUCAGUUUCCAGUGAUCCAUCAAUGAAUUUUUUCUGCGCACUCCCUUAGUGUUCUAAACUGGAUCUCUUGAUGGGCCUCAGAUGAGAAUGGAAAGCUUCCCUCUACUGUGUUGGAGCGUGUGUUGCUGCUUUGGGUGGGCCAAUGGUGUGAGUCAUCAAGG